GAUGAACGCUGACAGAAUGCUUAACACAUCAGCAAUUGAUUGGUGGCGGCCGGGUGAGUAACUCGUAAAGAACUUGCCUCCCAGGUAGGGACAACAUUUGGAAACGACUGCUAAUACCUAAUACUGUGAGAGAGCUUUGCGUCCCAUUAGCUAGUUGGCGAGGUAACGGCCCACCAAGGCGAGGAUGGGUAGCCGGCCUGAGAGGGUGAUCGGCCACAAGGGGACUGGGACACGGCCAUUAGGCCUACGGGAGGCAGCAGUGGGGAAUAUUGGACAAUGGACCAAAGUAGGAUCCAGCAAUUCUGUGUGAACGAUGAAGUUUUCGGAAUGUAAAGUGCUUUCAGUUGGGAAGCGGUACCAACAGAAGAAGUGACGGCUAAAUACGUGCCAGCAGCCGCGGUAAUAC
rnacentral:rRNA from 1 species